rnacentral:tRNA from 1 species
GGGCCAUUAGCUCAAAUGGUUAGAGCUACCGGCUCAUAACCGGUUGGUUGCGAGUUCGAUUCUUGCAUGGCCCACCA